rnacentral:tRNA from 1 species
GCCUCCGUGGAGCAGUCUGGAGUGCUCGCCACCCUGUCAAGGUGGAGACGCCGGUUCAAAUCCGGUCGGAGGAG